rnacentral:lncRNA from 1 species
UCAAAGAUUUAGGCCCGCAGGUCUACUACAGCACGCUCUUCUUCUGGGAAUACGUCGGCCCUCUUAUCAUCUACCCCAUCUUCUAUUACCUGCCCGUCUACAAAUACUUUGGGUAUGAGGGAGAGCGGGUCAUCCACCCCGUCCAGACCUACGCCAUGUACUACUUCUGUUUCCACUACUUCAAGAGGAUCAUGGAGACCUUCUUCGUCCACCGCUUCAGCCACGCGACUUCCCCCGUGUCAAACGUCUUCAGAAACUGUGCCUACUACUGGACCUUUGGAGCCUACAUUGCCUACUACUGCAACCACCCUCUGUACACCCCCGUGAGUGACCUGCAGAUGAAGAUUGGGUUCGGCAUCGGGGUCGUGUGCCAGAUCGCAAACUUCUACUGCCACAUCCUGCUGAGGAACCUCAGGAGCCCGACCGGCAGCGGCGGCUACCAGAUCCCACGGGGCUUCCUGUUCAACAUCGUGACAUGCGCAAACUACACCACCGAGAUCUACCAAUGGCUCGGGUUCAACAUCGCCACCCAGACCGUGGCGGGUUACGUCUUCC